rnacentral:rRNA from 1 species
UACGUAGGGUGCAAGCGUUAAUCGGAAUUACUGGGCGUAAAGCGUGCGCAGGCGGUUAUGUAAGACAGUUGUGAAAUCCCCGGGCUCAACCUGGGAACUGCAUCUGUGACUGCAUAGCUAGAGUACGGUAGAGGGGGGAUGGAAUUCCGCGUGUAGCAGUGAAAUGCGUAGAUAUGCGGAGGAACACCGAUGGCGAAGGGCAACCCUCCCGGUG